UACAUUCAAAUAAAUGAUUCAUGAACAUUCAAAGUAAAUAUCAGAAUUAGCACUCUGAAGAGUGGCUAUAUUCCCAGAUGUGACAAUAUAUCUUCUGUGAUGUAGUCAAAUAAGGAGAAAUAAUUUUGCUCACAUAUCUGCAUGCCUGAUUUUCUGGCAUGCAGAACCUUGAGAAAUUCAAAAUCUAAGUCAUACAGACUUGACUGGAUUCCUUGUUAAAACCUCCUGGAGUUUUCUUUUACUUAGAAAUUAUUAGCUUAUGAUCAUUUCGGGUGCAGGACACGACUUCUCUUAACCAUAUUCUAUUGGUCUACCAUAAAAAUAUUAUGACAAAUAUUUCAAGACAAUUAGUGGAGAAAACUAUGAAAGUGCAAUCAGUCUCUGUAUGCUUUUAUUAAUAAAGUGAAACCCAAUUUUGGUAGAAAAUCAAAAUGUGCUUUGCUUCUUGGGAUAUUUUUACAGAUUUAGUGAAAGUACAUAGUAACAUUUUGUUUUGUAAGUGAAAAGUUUUCAUCUGGAAUACAUUAAAGAAUAGUCCAGAAACUGAAUCAUUACCGUUUACUUUUAGUAAUUUACUUUGUAAAUAUAGAGAUUCAAGGAUUUCCACUAAAGAAAGAGAAAAAAAAAAUAGUGGAAAUAAUACGAUCAAAUUUAUUUAGAAAGUAAAAGAACAGAUAUAUGGAAAAAAAGAACUGCUAUAUAAAUGUGAGUGAGAAUAUUGAAACAAUACUAUUAUACUAAAUGUGUGGUGUACCAAACCCUCUUAUAAACAAUGCAAAACUCAAAGAGGAAUAAAAUCUGAUUCAUUUUGUCAAAGAUCAAAACUAGGGUUAAAUCUAUAUAUUUUCCACAAAACUCUAUCUAACUGGGAAAUAUGUACAUACAUAUGUAAGUUCUAAGAUGAAAACCAUACCAUCUCUAUUUUUGAAUAGAAGAACCUAGAAACAUCACUUUUAUGUCUAUUUUCAAAGAAGCUCAAUAAUGUACAGAAGAAGUAUCCUUCAGCAUUGCCUUUCUUUUUUUUGCAGUCUUCUGGCAUCUACUGAAAUCAACAAAAGCUUCAAUGGCAGAAGAACAUCAGCAGAUAAGCAGGAGACAAUACUGAAGAAUUGGAAUGAUGGCUCGUUGUUUGCAAAAAUAGUAAUGUACAUCUUGAUUUGAAAAUGUUCCUGACCACCAGAGAAGAGGCUCAAAGAGGAAUAGAAGACUUCUUCUCACUCGUGAAACUGGCUAAUAGAGUCUACUGUAUUUUAACAAACAUCUGUUUUUCCAUAAGCUCUCAGAGAGAAAAGGAAGACUCUUCUAGAUUUUGUCCAAAUUCAAAAGUAGAAGACGAUAUGACUUCAUAGUCUAGGAUUGGUAUCAGUAAACAAAUAUGCUGGUAUCUAAAGAGGCACAGUAAAAAUAAAUGGUUUAGACAACUC